CGAUCCCCGUACGGGCCAGAAAG
rnacentral:piRNA from 1 species